rnacentral:tRNA from 3 species
GCCCCCUUCGUCUAGUGGUUAGGACGCAAGAUUUUCAUUCUUGAAACAGGAGUUCGAUUCUCCUAGGGGGUGCCA